rnacentral:rRNA from 1 species
GGAAUUCGCCCUUAGAGUUUGAUCCUGGCUCAGGAUGAACGCUGGCGGCGUGCUUAACACAUGCAAGUCGAACGGGGGUUACUUCGUGGCGAUCUUCGGAUCAAAGCGAUAUAACUCGAGUGGCGGACGGGUGAGUAACACGUGAGUAACCUGCCUUUUGCUGGGGAAUAACUGUGGGAAACCAUGGCUAAUACCGCAUGUUGUGCAUGACAGGCAUCUGUUGUGUAUGAAAGGAGAAAUCCGGCAGAAGAUGGGCUCGCGUCCGAUUAGGUAGUUGGUGGGGUAACGGCCUACCAAGCCCGCGAUCGGUAGCCGGACUGAGAGGUCGAACGGCCACAUUGGGACUGAGACACGGCCCAGACUCCUACGGGAGGCAGCAGUGGGGAAUAUUGGGCAAUGGGCGAGAGCCUGACCCAGCGACGCCGCGUGAAGGACGAAGGCCUUCGGGUUGUAAACUUCUUUGGGGAGGGACGAAAAUGACGGUACCUCCAGAACAAGCCACGGCUAACUACGUGCCAGCAGCCGCGGUAAUACGUAGGUGGCAAGCGUUAUCCGGAUUUACUGGGUGUAAAGGGCGCGCAGGCGGCCCCAAAAGUCAGAUGUGAAAGAUCAAGGCUUAACUUUGACAUGUCAUCUGAAACUUUGGGACUUGAGUAUCAGAGGGGAAAGCGGAAUUCCUGGUGGAGCGGUAAAAUGCGCAGAGAUCAGGAGGAACACCGGUGGCGAAGGCGGCUUUCUGGCUGACAACUGACGCUGAGGCGCGAAAGCGUGGGGAGCAAACAGGAUUAAAUACCCUGGUAAGUCCCCGCCGUAAACAAUGAUUACUGGGUGGAGGGGGGAUCGAUUCCCUCUGUGCCGAACUAACACGAAAAAUAAUCCACCUGGGGAGAACGGGCGCAAAGGCUAAAACUCCAAGGAAAUGACGGGGGCCCCGCCCAACCAAUGGAAAUAGGGGGUUUAAUUCAAGGGAACCGCCAAAAACCUU